rnacentral:misc_RNA from 1 species
GAUGAAGAACGUAGUGAAAUGCGAUAAGUAAUGUGAAUUGCAGAAUUCAGUGAAUCAUCGAAUCUUUGAACGCACCUUGCACUCCUUGGUAUUCCGAGGAGUACGCCUGUUCGAGUGUUAUGAAGCUCUCAAAACGCAAUUGGCUUAAAACCUGAUUGUUGUUUUGGAUUUGAACUUUGCCGUGUUAUAACGGCUGGUUUUAAAAGUAUUAGCUGGUACUAGAACGAAUUGGUUCUACUCAACGUGAUAAUUAUCUGAUCGUUGAGGACAUUCCUUUCACGAGGAAUGGCCAUAGUAAAUUCAAUGGACUGCUUCUAAUCUGACUUUAAUUCUUUAUUGGAUUAACCACUUUUCAAAUCUGACCUCGAAUCAGGUGGGACUACCCGCUGAACUUAAGCAUAUCAAUAAGCGGAGGA